rnacentral:rRNA from 1 species
GUAAGUUCCGACCUGCACGAAUGGUGUAACGAUCUGGGCACUGUCUCGGCCACGAGCUCGGUGAAAUUGAAGUAUCGGUGAAGAUGCCGAUUACCCGCAGCGGGACGAAAAGACCCCGUGAACCUUUACUGUAGCUUGACAUUGGGUUUUGAGUAAUAUUGCGUAGGAUAGGUGGGAGAUGUUGAUGCGUGCAUUCCGGUGUACGUGGAGUCGUCCUUGAAAUACCACCCUAUAUUACUUGAAAUCCUAACCUACUGUCGUUAUCCGGCAGGGGGACAAUGUCUGGUGGGCAGUUUGACUGGGGCGGUCGCCUCCUAAAGAGUAACGGAGGCGCGCGAAGGUACCCUCAGCCAGUAUGGAAACCUGGCGUAGAGUGUAAGCGCAUAAGGGUGCCUGACUGCAACACAAACAAGUGGAGCAGAGUCGAAAGACGGCGCUAGUGAUCCGGUGGUUCCGAGUGGAAGGGCCAUCGCUCAACGGAUAAAAGGUACACCGGG